rnacentral:rRNA from 1 species
GGAUUGGCUCUNAGGGUUGGGUAUAGGGGNCCUUGUUCUGAUGUUCGAGCUGAGCAGAAGCUACUUGACGCUCCGGUGGAUAGUGGAUUCGCCAUGGCGAGAAUUGCCGGACAAGGAACGCUUCGGGCUUUCCCUGUGCAGUGAACAACCAAUUCAGAACU